CGGCCCUUAGCUCAGUUGGUAGAGCACCGGAUUUUGAUUCCGGGCGUCGCUGGUUCGAGCCCAGCAGGGUCUGCCA
rnacentral:tRNA from 1 species